AUUGAACGCUGGCGGCAGGCCUAACACAUGCAAGUCGAACGGUAACAGGGAUCAGCUUGCUGAUUCGCUGACGAGUGGCGGACGGGUGAGUAAUGUCUGGGAAACUGCCUGAUGGAGGGGGAUAACUACUGGAAACGGUAGCUAAUACCGCAUAACGUCGCAAGACCAAAGAGGGGGACCUUCGGGCCUCUUGCCAUCGGAUGUGCCCAGAUGGGAUUAGCUAGUAGGUGGGGUAACGGCUCACCUAGGCGACGAUCCCUAGCUGGUCUGAGAGGAUGACCGGCAACAGUGGAACUGAGACAGGGUCCAGCCCCCUACGGGAGGCAGCAGUGGGGAAUAUUGAACAAUGGGCGCAAGCCUAAUGCAGCAAUGCCGCGGGUAUGAAGAAGGCUUUGGGUUUGUAAAGUAUUUUCAGCGGGGAGGAAGGGAGUAAAGUUAAUACCUUGGCUCAUUGACGUUACCCGCAAAAGAAGCACCGGCUAACUCCGU
rnacentral:rRNA from 1 species